GACACUACUGCUUCUUUCCUUACUGAAAUUAUACUAGCCCUAAAAGAGGUUUGGUGUAUCAUUUGUAGAUGUGAAUUGCAGUCUUGCCAUGGAAAUGUGAAUUGGCUCAAAAAGAAAAGGGCUUUUCAUUGCCCAUGUUUGGUUAUCUCACUCCAAAAUCAUCAAGCUCUUUUCUUUUCUGUUGACAUGACUGAUAAUGUCUUGGAUUAACUGUGUGUGUAGGACACAAUUUUAACUAGUGUUAUUCACUUUGAAAGAAGCAGCAUGGAAAUUACUUGAUUGUACCAAGUUAAUUGGCUCAAAUAGCAAACGAGCUAGGAGCAGCUCAAUUUGCUGUCACAUACCUUCCUUUUGCCUUUGAAAUUUGAUUCUUUUCCAGUUGCAUUAAGAUAGGUUGACUUGAAUAUGUCAAUAUAGCUAAGUUUUUGUGUUGUUACUGUUAUUCCAGUUCAACUUCAUCAGUCGCAGCAGCCUGACACCAUUGCUAAUCGUCGAUGCUUAUUAAUUUAUUUGUAGUGAUGAAUUGAUAAGGUUCAGCUGCCUUGCCUCCUCUUCACAACAUUACAGUUCAAGGCGGACUAUAAUACUGACAGGAAAAUUGUUGCGAAACUGAAGUCAUGCUUGGAAAGAUCAAUCUUUUCGGGGAGUGAAGAUAAACUUUGGCGAGCUUCUGCCCCCCUUGAUGUAUCUAAAGAUGAUCUAUCAUUUAUUUAAUUCAUUUAUUUCUAUUAGUUCAGACCUUAGAUUAAAUUAUCUACAUGUUUUGUUCAUUUACUUUAGGAGAUAUGCUAAUGUAUCACUUUUAAUUUAAUUAAUUUGUUUUGGCUAG